rnacentral:rRNA from 1 species
GACGAACGCUGGCGGCGUGCUUAACACAUGCAAGUCGAACGGAAAGGCCCUGCUUUUGUGGGGUGCUCGAGUGGCGAACGGGUGAGUAACACGUGAGUAACCUGCCCUUGACUUUGGGAUAACUUCAGGAAACUGGGGCUAAUACCGGAUAGGAGCUCCUGCUGCAUGGUGGGGGUUGGAAAGUUUCGGCGUUUGGGGAUGGACUCGCGGCUUAUCAGCUUGUUGGUGAGGUAGUGGCUUACCAAGGCUUUGACGGGUAGCCGGCCUGAGAGGGUGACCGGCCACAUUGGGACUGAGAUACGGCCCAGACUGCUACGGGAGGCAGCGGUGGGGAAUAUUGCACAAUGGGCGGAAGCCUGAUGCAGCAACGCCGCGUGCGGGAUGACGGCCUUCGGGUUGUAAACCGCUUUCGCCUGUGACGAAGCGUGAGUGACGGUAAUGGGUAAAGAAGCACCGGCUAACUACGUG